rnacentral:miRNA from 1 species
CCGAUGUUACGACGGCUUUACAUGA